rnacentral:rRNA from 1 species
UACGGAGGAUGCAAGUGUUAUCCGGAAUCACUGGGCGUAAAGCGUCUGUAGGUUGUUUAAUAAGUCAGCUGUUAAAUCUUGAGGCUCAACUUCAAAAUCGCAGUCGAAACUAUUAGACUAGAGUAUAGUAGGGGUAAAGGGAAUUUCCAGUGGAGCGGUGAAAUGCGUAGAGAUUGGAAAGAACACCGAUGGCGAAGGCACUUUACUGGGCUAUUACUGACACUCAGAGACGAAAGCUAGGGUAGCAAAUGGGAUUAGAUACCCCAGUAGUCCUAGCCGUAAACGAUGGAUACUAGAUGUUGCAUAUAUGCAGUAUCCUAGCUAACGCGUUAAGUAUCCCGCCUGGGGAGUACGCUCGCAAGGGUG